rnacentral:rRNA from 14 species
GGGUGGUCGCCUCCAAAAGAGUAACGGAGGCUUCUAAAGGUUCCCUCAAUACGGUUGGCAAUCGUGUGUAGAGUGCAAUGGCAUAAGGGAGCUUGACUGAGAGGCCUACAAGCCGAUCAGGUACGAAAGUAGAGCAUAGUGAUCCGGUGGUUCCGCAUGGAAGGGCCAUCGCUCAAAGGAUAAAAGGUACGCCGGGAUAACAGGCUGAUCUCCCCCAA